rnacentral:rRNA from 1 species
CGAAGGGGGCUAGCGUUGUUCGGAAUUACUGGGCGUAAAGGGCGCGUAGGCGGUUGCUCAAGUCAGGCGUGAAAGCCCCGGGCUCAACCUGGGAACCGCGCUUGAGACUGGGCGGCUUGAGUUCGGGAGAGGUGAGUGGAAUUCCCAGUGUAGAGGUGAAAUUCGUAGAUAUUGGGAAGAACACCGGUGGCGAAGGCGGCUCACUGGACCGACACUGACGCUGAGGCGCGAAAGCGUGGGGAGCAAACAGGA